rnacentral:tRNA from 2 species
GGAUCCAUAGGGUAGCGGAUAUCCUCUUGGGCUUCGGACCCAAGGACGCGGGUUCGAUUCCCGCUGGGUCCA